rnacentral:lncRNA from 1 species
AUUUCUUCCAAUGAGAAUAUACUUAUGAUAUAAUACUUUAGCUAUAACUCUGUUUUUUGUUUGAGUUUUUAUGCAUCUGUAGGUUGGAAAGUCUGAUCAUAUAUCCAGUACUGAGGAAGCCAGGUACAAAUGAAAGAAGAUACCUUCAUGAUUGCUGAACAACAACGCUCACCAUCAGUAUUUAGAUGAUACAAGUUCUUCAAGUUUAGUUUUCCUCUGUGCAGCUGUGUCUUCAUCUUUCUCAAUUAGAGAAGCAACAUUAGAGUUCCUUGGGGGAGACUAUGACAGAAAGCCGAUAUCCUCUGUACUGAGCAAUGAAUGCUGGAGAUAUAAAGAAAUUCAGGCUGUGUCUCCAUCAGAUCUGUCCAUGAUCAUUCUUUGCUACAGCCUGGUGCUCUCUCACCUUUACAUUAUUUCAAGCCUCAUACAUUUCUCUGAUUACUCUACUGAGAUGUGAAUGGCAGCUGUUCUAUUUUACAGAGGAAUAAUCACAUUAACCAUUGGUGUGAAAGGCUGAAAAUCUCUUUGAUGCUCUUGACUAAGCACUAAAAGCCAGGGCCACGUCUGACAACUUGACUUUGUUACUUCAGAGUAGAAGGUGUCUGAGACUGUUUUUGAUAUCAUCUUUACAUGGGAGUUGGUUGGU